CUGCAGCGGGAUCAUUA
rnacentral:rRNA from 1 species